rnacentral:rRNA from 1 species
UACGUAGGGUGCAAGCGUUGUCCGGAAUUAUUGGGCGUAAAGAGCUCGUAGGCGGUUUGUCACGUCGGAUGUGAAACCCUGAGGCUCAACCUCAGGCCUGCAUUCGAUACGGGCAGACUAGAAUUCGGCAGGGGAGACUGGAAUUCCUGGUGUAGCGGUGAAAUGCGCAGAUAUCAGGAGGAACACCGGUGGCGAAGGCGGGUCUCUGGACAGUUCCUGACACUGAGGCACGAAGGCCAGGGGAGCAAACGGG